rnacentral:rRNA from 1 species
GUAGGUGGCAAGCGUUGUCCGGAAUUAUUGGGGCGUAAAAGCGCGCGCAGGGCGGUCCUUUAAGUCUGAUGUGAAAAGCCCACGGCUCAACCGUGGAGGGUCAUUGGAAACUGGGGGACUUGAGUACAGAAGAGGAAAGCGGAAUUCCAAGUGUAGCGGUGAAAUGCGUAGAGAUUUGGAGGAACACCAGUGGCGAAGGCGGCUUUCUGGUCUGUAACUGACGCUGAGGCGCGAAAGCGUGGGGAGCAAACAGGAUUAGAUACCCUGGUAGUCCACGCCGUAAACGAUGAGUGCUAAGUGUUAGGGGGUUUCCGCCCCUUAGUGCUGCAGCUAACGCAUUAAGCACUCCGCCUGGGGAGUACGGCCGCAAAGGCUG